GGCGCUCUAAUAUCUAUAAUGAGAGUAGCUUUUGAGCAAAGGUCCCUCAACAACCAGGUCAAACUCACUCUUCAAGACCUAGCUAAGCUCUUCAGCAUGGUGUAAGAUAUUUUGUCUUGAAAUGUAUUCAAAUGCCAAUGCAGAAAAGGUAAAUAAAUGUCCUUAAAGGCACACUACAGUAUUCUGGGCACUCUAUUGACAUCUAUGUACUGCCACAAUAAUGGUCUUUCUAACAAAGUAUUAAACUAGUAAAUGUUCCAUGCAUUGUUUUUGUUCCCCCAUAUACAGCAAUUCUCUGGUUUCUGCUGUUGGUACUAAGACAAAGAUCGUUCCUGCCACGGGGGGAGCAUAUUGACGAAGAGGAAUACAAUUGUUUUUUUGUUUUUUUCCUGGACUGAAGUACUGUUCUGUCCUGCAGUAUUCUGAUGCUACUAUCCUGAAUCUUGAUUCUUGGAUAAUAUUUUCCCCAAACAUUUAAUGCACACUGGAUCUGGGUUUAGGUUUGCUAUUGAGCUGCACCCCACUGGAGAGGCUACUAAGUAUACAACCACCAUCAACUAUGUCUAGGAGGAUGAGGAAGAUACAGUUAGAGUACAGGCUGAAGAGAGGCUGCUGCCGAAUAUCACUUUGGCCAGCUUUUCUACAACAUCACUUUUCCUUUGUCCCAGGGUGGGAAAUCCACUAGAGAUCUGAACGUUCCUAAUGCCCUCAAAACACCAAACCUGAAUGCACCACAACUUGGCUUGGACAUUGCAUCCAUUGGCAUUCCUCUUCCUGAGAUCUUCAUUCCUGAGGGUAUGUCACUGUCUGUACCUACUCUUGGAAUGGUGUCCGGAAAACUAAGCAGCAACUUUUACAACCUAGAAGCAGCGGCGUCUGCUGGCAGAGAUGCUGUUGCACAUCCAAGCUAUUCUGCUAUGGUUGAAGUCACUGGAACAUGUCCUGUUGAUCUUUUCUCUGUAAAUAUUGAAGGUACAUAAAAUAACAGUAAUUCUCCCCCCUAAAAACUGCAUCACUGUGUGCACCUGAUUUAAAUGGGGUUUUUUUUACCAUUAUUUUCCAGGAUCUGUUCUGGUUGAGGCCACACCUGAUGAUUCUUUCAGAGUCAGAAUCUUGGCAGGGUCAAGUGAUUAGUCUGGGGUGGCAACAAAAUGUCUAACUGGGGGGGUGGCGGCGGCACAUGGGGGGCCAGGCUUCUGUCCAGGGGGCUGCGGCCACCCCUGGCGCCGCCUCUAGAACCGCCCUUUCUCCAGAGGCAGCAUUUUCCUGGUUUCAGACACGGCCUAUAUUUUCUAUCAUAAGGCUAUUCCUUUAAAGAAUAGUUCACUCUAAAAUAAUUAUUUUGAUCAUUCACUCACCCUUAUGUUGUCACAAACUCACAUGACUUCCUUUUUUCCAUGGAAUAAGCAGAAAGAUAUAUAUACAGGUGCAUCUCAAUAAAUUAGAA